GUGUCGGUGCGGCCGACGGGGCGUGCUCAGGCGCGGGCGCGGCUGGCGCAGCUCGAGCCAGCCCCGGAGGACAGCACCGUCAGAGACCAGCUGACCCAGCACGAGGUCAUAGCGCAUACGAACCGCAUGAAGAAGCAGCUGCAGGAGGCGUGGAUGACGGACCAGCGGGUGCGCGCGCUCAAGCUGGUCAUCCAGGCUUGCAAGAUGCUGGAGGACGUGUCGGUACCGCAGUUCUACCCCAGCAUGUUCGCCCUGGUCACCGACAUCCUGGACGUCUUCGGCAACCUCGUCUACAACCGCGUCAUCUCCAAGGACCGCGAGAACAGCGGUGCGACGGUGGUGCGG